rnacentral:sRNA from 1 species
AUGUGCGCGAAUUGCGCCAGGGCGUUGAGUAGCUGUAACCGUAGCCGGAGCCGGAGCUGGAGCUGGAGCUGGAGCUGCAGACGGAUCAGAGAAUUCCCGCCAAAUCCUCCUGUAACCGAAUAAAUAAUAUCCACGCUAUUUAAAUUCUCCUGGUAUAAAACCUCCCCGCCCCGCCGUCUCCCUUCCUCGGCCUCCUUACCCCCAUCGUCGUCUCUCUCGCGCGGACCCAAUUCCGCGGCUGCUAGUUAGUUGACUACCCCCCAACCGUGGUCCUUUCUCCCGGCGGCGACACCCUGACCGACGACGACAACUGACGGACCCAUCAGAUCUUCUUCAGUGACAGCGACAGCGACAGCGAGAACGGACCCUCCGCUAUUCUUACCAAGCACAACUCGUUUACCCCGUAUUUGUGUUUUCGCCCCCCUGUGCUUGGGUUUUUUCGCCGUUGCCCUUCUUGCUGCUGUCGGAGAGAAAAUUCGCGGUCUUUCUUCCCGCC